AUACCAUAAAUAUUGGCUAUUCCCAGAUAUGGCUAUAUUCUUAUAUGCUUUAGGAUUUUAAAACAUGGCAACAGCCGUCAUGCCCCCUCCCAUAGACUUGCAUUGAGGUAACGGGGCGUGACGUCACACGGGGGCGGAGUCGUGACGUGCUGAACUUCCGUUCCGGUGGCUGGGACCCAGACCCUCCAGCGCUUCCGGAGCAGAAACAGAAAUCAUGGCUUAAAAAAGAUCACUAGGGGUCUUCAUACCAUCCAGAACAUAAUCCUGUCUGGCUGCUAUUCUGUUUUAUCAGACUACAGCAUGAAAACAGAGUGGAGGGGGUUACAGAGCAGCCUGCAGUGAUUGGAUAAAGAGACUCAGCAGAGCACAGCAGAUUCAGAGAGGAGGUGAAUGCAUUGUGAAUGAAGACGGGCUCAGUACUUGCCUCAGACAUGCACUUUCCUGAGCAGUGGAUGUUAGAAUGAGUGAGCAGCAGAACAUAGAGAGACACACAAAAAAGACAUGUAAAGGAUCUACAUAACCUAUGUUCGGCGGCAAUAGACAGGAUGGAAGACAAGCAGAUGUGAACAAAUAUUGUAUGUUUUUUUUGAUUAGUUAGAUGAGGAAUUAUUUCCGGUCCUCACAUUUUUGGAAGACUCUUUUAGCUGUUACUAAUGCAAUAAUUAACUAUACAAUUGCAAUUUAAUCCUCACGCGUUCACUAUAAUGUGGUAGUACUGGUUCACCUAGUUAUUUCACCAAUGGAAUUGGUGAGUAGAGGAAGGUAUGCAUGUCAAUGACAAUGACUUAGGCCUCUUUCAGGUGUCCAGAUGCCCUGCAGCUCUGUUAAAUUAUAGGUGAUCAAUAUGGUGAUAUAAUCCUGGUGCAUUAGAUUAGCAGGAGGUCAUUCAUGCCAUGUUUGUAGCACCAAUAUCAGUUUGCCAUUGGCCCAGAAUUACUAUUCUCAUCCUGACAGCUUUGUGUAAUUUUUUUGCAACGUAAUUUUGCCGCAUGUUAAACUGAACAACAACACAAAUUGCAUAUUUUUUUAAUUUAUUUUUUAAUUACA